GAAUAUUAGUCAAUGCUCGCAAGAGUGAACUAGCUAACUGAAAUCAUAUUUGUGUCAAAUGUGAUGUCGUAAGGGAAAAUAAUGAUAUUACCUUACUAAUAGUGUCGUCUAAAACAGGUGCCAGAAGACUCGGUAAGGCCUGAGACACAAAUGUUAAUCGUCUUAAUCAGGCGUAAAGGGUUUGUAGGCUGCUUUAAAAAUAUUAAUUUAAUAUAGUCAUACGCACCCUCCCCUAUCUUAUACCCUCAAAAGGAUAGGAUAAGGAAGGGUGUAGUAAGUUAAUAUCAAUUAAAGCUAGAAUCUAAUAGAGGAUAUUUACGAAAUAAUGCUUGGUCGAGGGCUGAUAUCCGAAGACACCAAGUGGAGUGCAAAUGGCGUAAGCAUUUAUCCAUUAAAGAUUGACGCUGAGAAACGAAGGUGAGGAUAGGAAAUAGGAUUAGAUACCCAGGUACCCCUCUCUGUCAACGAUGAAUGGUAGUUUGUUAGUCUCUUUAAAGACUAGUGACGAAGUUAACACGUUAACCAUUCCGCCUUGUGAGUACGACUGCAAAGUUGAAAACAAAAAAAUUAGUCGGUCUCGGAGCAAACGAAGUGAAGUAUGUUAUUUAAUUC
rnacentral:rRNA from 1 species